GAUGAUGUGUUGGAUGAAGUUGAGAAGAAGGGUGGGAAUGAAAUUUAAUUGGUUAAUGAAGUUGGUGAUGAUGUGUCAAUAUUCGUGGAGAAGAAUGAUGUGAAUGUAAUUGAGAUUGCUAAUGAAGUUGAAUGUGCUAUUAUGGUUGAAGAACCCGAUGAAAAAAAAAUAAUGAUGAUGAUGAAGAAGAUGUCAAGGUUAGACAUAUUUGUUUGUUUUGUUAUGUGAUAUAUGUCUUUUGUUUUAAUUAUUAAAUGGUUCUUUAUUUUGUGUAGAUUGACAAUAAUAAUGACAUGCCGUCUUUUGACAUAUUAAGCCAAUGUACUGGGAAAGAGAUUGUUGUGUAUGAUGCUGAUAAGGUUAGUGUUAUAAUUAUGGGCCAUCAUUUAUUUAAAUGUUAUUUAUGUUUUGGUUACCAUUAUAUAGUGAAUUGGUUACUAUGAUAUUGUGUUUUGGUUACCAUAAUAUUGUGUUUUGGCUACUAUUAUAUUAUGAUUUGGUUACUAGUUUAUGUUAUUCAGAUUACUAAUAUAACAUGUUCAUUUUAGUUUGUUGGCUGUUGUACAGUCAGUUGGUUAUUAGUUUAUUUUAUUCAGGUUACUAAUCGUAUAUAUUACCUUUUUAUGUCAACUGAAAAAGGGAAAGAAAGGUGAGACAGCAAGCAGGUAUGCUCUUGAUUUUAUGGUUCUCACCACACAGGAC
rnacentral:lncRNA from 1 species